UAAAUUCUGUUUUGAUCUUUGGAUUCAAAAGCUUCUGAACCUGAGGUAAGAUUACUUUCGUUCUGGUUCACAAAAGCUCUGUGAAAAGAAGAAUUGGCCAGGGUGCCACCAUGGUGGCUUAACAGACACACCUGGCCCUUCUGAACUGCCGCUGAGUCCUCACUGCAAAUCCUGCUGUCACAGGCAUUAGAAGCAGACAGGUCCUGCUCCCGAGGAGAGGAGGCUGGGCCAGAGGCACCUGUCAGAGCGAGGCCCCACUGCACCUGACUUACUAUUUCCUAACAGCGUAUGGAGCUGGGACGUCAGCUUGGUAUUUACUGGCUUGUGUUGUCCAGGUGGUCUCGCCAUGAUGCCACCAGUCACGCUGUGGCACAGCCAAGGAGGCCCUCACCAUAGGCUGAACAGGUGGCUGCUGAUCUUCCACUGUUAGCCUUCAAAACUGUGAGCUGAUUCCGUCUCUUGCUUAUAUAAGUAGCACAAGUUCUCAGCCUCAGCAUCUUGCUACACUAACAGAAAAUGGACUAAUACAGCACGCCAUAUGUCAAGUACUGUGGGUGGAAGACUUCAGCACCGCGCUCAGAGUUAGAGGCAGUGAGAGGACAGCCAACACAGGACUGAGAGGUGGGCUUUCCACUGAAGGACCCGUCCCAGGGCAGGAAAGGAGGAGACGCAGUUGAAGGCCCGCCAGUGGAGCGUGUGACAGCUGCUGGAUUAUGGGAUCCUGUGCUCUACGUCUGGAUCAUACAUAGAAUGUUGGACCAGGAUGGAGCCAUAGCAAUGAUGGCUAAGCCUCUCACGGGGCUGAAGACCAAGGCUGGGCUGGAGUUGCGAGUGAGGGGAAGGACAGGCUGCCCUGGGCCUGGGGCCUGUGGUGUGGAAGCUCUUCACAAAUGAGCAGUCUCAGAUCAGAGAGGACACAGCGGUGAGGGGCUGUGCACAGGGACGUGUGCUAGCAGAACCGUGAGUAAGGAGGGGCUCUCACUGCAGACGGAUCUUGGUUCACCAUGGGCACCUCUUGGUUUAGCACCUUCCUCUCUGUUGGGUGACUCACACGCCUGCUGUGUACCUGGCACUGGGUUGGGCACUUCUGGGGCAUGCUCUUCCCCACCCUUGACCCCCACAGCCCCUGGCUUGGGAUUACAUGGUACAGAACAUCCCUCUUUGUUCCGCCAUCAGCUGGUCCUUUCUGGGAGCAGCUCCAGGCUCGCUGUCAUUCUCUCCUGCUUCCCUGCCAUGCUGCCUGUUCUUGCAGAAAACGCUUCUUAGGGCUUGGGUCCUCAGCCACUUGCCAGGCUCAUGGCCGAGCUGGUCAGCAGCACCACUGUUGGGAGACUGGCCUCUGCCCCCUCCCAGGGGGGCUCCUGUUCUCCAGGUCUAGGGCUGUUAUCCUGCCAUGCGCCCGCCUGGCCUCUGCCUCCCUCUCCUGGCCAGCUCCUGCACCCUUUCUGUAUCCUCCUCGUUCCUCAGCUGAUGAACUGGCUUCCUACUCUGCUGGGUGCUUUUGUUUUCUGGGAAAAAAAGUGCUUGCACCAGCUCCCUGGACCACACUACCCUGGGACUGUGGAGGGAGGCCCCUCCUGUGUGCACUGGACCCACUCGUGUCACUGUCUCCUAGAUCAUUCCCCAAGCACAGUCCGCCGAGUUGCACUCAUCAUAAGUGGUUUUCUGAAAUCUACCUCCAUGCCCCCCACCUCCUAAGGGCCAGCUGCACGCCCUCCUCCAGAUCAUGUGUUGGGUCCCCUUGCGCUUCUGGCUGCCUGCCACAUGCCCCUUUCUGCUCAUGGGCUUUGGUUCUUCCUGACUCCUCAGCCCGUGAGCGCUGGUGAGGCCCCAGGCUCCAUCCAUGGGCCUCUUCGCCCCUGCUUGCAUUCAUUCUCUGGUCAGGCUCAUCCCUCUUCGCCUGAAUGAAUGAAGCAAGAUGGGGCUCCUGCUGCCUGAGAAUCCAUAGAUCUCAGAAAAGAAACACCCCCCCUCCUGAUCAUUUGCUAACACAGGGUGUCAAAACCAUGCUGAGCUGGCCAGCGUGGACAGCAGCCACUCUGCAGGGGACAGGGUGUCCCGUGCAUGCCUUUUCUAGCAAGAGUCUGAGUUUGUAAGAUCUUUGGGCAGGAGUGCGGUGAUCACCUCUGCAGGAUUUUCCGGCCUGCUCAAAACUAUGAUUCCGUUUCUACGUUAACUCCCUGCAGCUCACACCCUUGGCUCAUCUGUCCUGAGAGAUGGGACUGCCUUUUCAAACAAGGCGAGCGUAAGGAGUAACCACGUGACGACAAAGCAGGAAGGCAGCCCUGGUGUCACGGGGGGCGGUGCCGUGCUCAUGCCCAGG